ACAUUAACGUUGAUAAGAAGAGUAAACGAUGAAUGCUUUUACAGAGAGUCUCAGUUUGGUGGAAUGAGAUAAAGAAUAGUUGUUGAAAAUGGUCUUGGAGUUAGAAAAGUCGAACGGCAUUUGCUUUUAAACUUUUCCGGUUGCAUCCGAUAUCUUGUGCUAGGUAUGAAUACGUACUGAAUAAUGAGAAAAUGCAUAUGUAUAUAUGUAUUUAAAAAUAAGGUGGUAACGCGGAUAUAUUCGCCCUUAUG
rnacentral:ncRNA from 1 species